GAUGAAGAACGUAGCGAAAUGCGAUACGUAAUGUGAAUUGCAGAAUUCAGUGAAUCAUCGAGUCUUUGAACGCACAUUGCGCCCCCUGGUAUUCCGGGGGGCAUGCCUGUCCGAGCGUCAUUGCUGCCCUCAAGCCCGGCUUGUGUGUUGGGUCUCGUCCCCCUUCCCGGGGGGACGGGCCCGAAAGGCAGCGGCGGCACCGCGUCCGGUCCUCGAGCGUAUGGGGCUUUGUCACCCGCUCUGUAGGCCCGGCCGGCGCUUGCCGAUCAACCAUAACUUUUUUCCAGGUUGACCUCGGAUCAGGUAGGGAUACCCGCUGAACUUAAGCAUAUCAAUAAGCGGAGGA
rnacentral:misc_RNA from 1 species